rnacentral:rRNA from 1 species
UUGAACGCUGGCGGCAGGCCUAACACAUGCACGUCGAGCGGAUGAAGGGAGCUUGCUCCUGGAUUCAGCGGCGGACGGGUGAGUAAUGCCUAGGAAUCUGCCUGGUAGUGGGGGAUAACGUCCGGAAACGGGCGCUAAUACCGCAUACGUCCUGAGGGAGAAAGUGGGGGAUCUUCGGACCUCACGCUAUCAGAUGAGCCUAGGUCGGAUUAGCUAGUUGGUGGGGUAAAGGCCUACCAAGGCGACGAUCCGUAACUGGUCUGAGAGGAGGAUCAGUCACACUGCAACUGAGACACGGUCCAGACUCCUGCCGGAGGCAGCAGUGUGGAAUAUUGCACAAUGGGCGAAAGCCUGAUCCAGCCAUGCCGCGUUUGUGACGAAGGUCUUCGGAUUGUAAAGCUCUUUAAGUUGGGAGGAAGGGCAGUAAGUUAAUACCUUGCUGUUUUGACGUUACCCACAGAAUAAGCACCGGCUAACUUCGUG